rnacentral:tRNA from 1 species
GCGCCUGUAGCUCAGUGGAUAGAGCGUCUGUUUCCUAAGCAGAAAGUCGUCUGUUCGACCCCUACCUGGCGCG